rnacentral:rRNA from 1 species
UGGGCGUAAAGAGCUCGUAGGCGGUUUGUCGCGUCUGCUGUGAAAUCCCGAGGCUCAACCUCGGGCCUGCAGUGGGUACGGGCAGACUAGAGUGCGGUAGGGGAGAUUGGAAUUCCUGGUGUAGCGGUGGAAUGCGCAGAUAUCAGGAGGAACACCGAUGGCGAAGGCAGAUCUCUGGGCCGUAACUGACGCUGAGGAGCGAAAGGGUGGGGAGCAAACAGGCUUAGAUACCCUGGUAGUCCACCCCGUAAACGUUGGGAACUAGUUGUGGGGUCCAUUCCACGGAUUCCGUGACGCAGCUAACGCAUUAAGUUCCCCGCCUGGGGAGUACGGCCGCAAGGCUAAAACUCAAAGGAAUUGACGGGGACCCGCACAAGCGGCGGAGCAUGCGGAUUAAUUCGAUGCAACGCGAAGAACCUUACCAAGGCUUGACAUAUACGAGAACGGGCCAGAAAUGGUCAACUCUUUGGACACUCGUAAACAGGUGGUGCAUGGUUGUCGUCAGCUCGUGUCGUGAGAUGUUGGGUUAAGUCCCGCAACGAGCGCAACCCUCGUUCUAUGUUGCCAGCACGUAAUGGUGGGAACUCAUGGGAUACUGCCGGGGUCAACUCGGAGGAAGGUGGGGAUGACGUCAAAUCAUCAUGCCCCUUAUGUCUUGGGCUUCACGCAUGCUACAAUGGCCGGUACAAAGGGCUGCAAUACCGUGAGGUGGAGCGAAUCCCAAAAAGCCGGUCCCAGUUCGGAUUGAGGUCUGCAACUCGACCUCAUGAAGUCGGAGUCGCUAGUAUCGCAGAUCAGCA